UGCUUUCUCCUCUCCCUGGUAAGGUACCGUGUGUUAUUAGGAGCAAGGCUAGAUGAGCUGGACCUGUCUGCAGGUGGGCCCAACAAAGCACACAGCCAAGCCAUACUUUUUUAAUCAACAUACUAGGCUCACCCAUACAGAGAAUGUGUAACCCUAAUGCGCCAUUGGUUGAUUUGGGCAGAGAAUGUGUAACCCUAAUGCGCCAUUGGUUGAUUUAGGCAGAGAAUGUGUAACCCUAAUGCGUCAUUGGUUGAUUUGGGUGCAUCAUGUCCUCUUAUCUAAUUAACAGUUGUUGUCAAACAGUGAGUCUGGAAAGACCGUUCUCUUCCUCAGUGAAUUCUACUAGAUGAAAAGCCUAAAUGAGUGAAACAUCCUCACAUUUAAAGCAAACCUGAUUGUUUAAAUUUCACACUAUUAAAGCGUUCUAUUCUCGAAAACCUAAAAUGACUACUAUUUAGAAUGCAAGUAUGGGAAUUGGGACACGGCCAAUGUGUUUGUUUUCUAUGACAUUGUUUUUGUUUCGCAUUUGAACUACAAAACAGUUCUGAGAUCUGGGAUUUGAAAACUUUGAUGCUCAAUAUUUUCGAACUAUGCUUUGAAUAGAUGUUAUUGGUCACAUACACAUGUAGCGAAAUGCUUAUCGUCCCAACGUCACACAGUGGCAAGCCAUAUCUAACACUUCUAGCCUGUCCCUGUCACCAGAGGAAGGGCCGGAGCAUCCAGGAGAGAUAACAGGGGAGCCCAGCAAAACAUGAAAAGCUCCCCCUAGGAGGGGUGCAUCGCUGAUGUGAUCUUCCGGUCCGGUUUGGCGCCCCCCUCGGGUUCGUGCCAUCUUCAUGGUCUGUACUCGGCCUUGUCUCAGGGUAGUAAGUUGGUGGUUUGAAGAUAUUCCUCUAGUGGUGUGGGGGCUUUUUACUCAAUCACCUUGUCCCGGACCUGAUACUUUCUAACUCUGCUUUUUUUUGGCUGUGUUUCUGUACAGCAUCGGCUGAUGUAAAAAGGACUUUAUAAAUACAUUUGAUUGAUUUAAAUAAAUGUUAUUGAUGGUCCCUGAACAGCUUCCGCAUCACGUCUCACAGCAGCAGUCAGGCUCCAGCUUUAGUAUGGAUCAGCUGGAUGUCUCCUCACUCUGACAGUUCUGUCUGGCUACUCCUCACUAAACUGCAGGUCUUACACUAACUCUGACAGUUCUGUCUGGCUACCGCUCACUACACUGCAGGUCUUACACUAACUCUGACAGUUCUGUCUGGCUACCCCUCACUACACUGCAGGUCUUACACUAACUCUGACAGUUAUGUCUGGCUACUCCUCACUACACUGCAGGUCUUACACUAACUCUGACAGUUAUGUCUGGCUACUCCUCACUACACUGCAGGUCUUACACUAACUCUGACAGUUAUGUCUGGCUACUCCUCACUACACUGCAGGUCUUACACUAACUCUGACAGUUAUGUCUGGCUACUCCUCACUACACUGCAGGUCUUACACUAACUCUGACAGUUCUGUCUGGCUACCGCUCACUACACUGCAGGUCUUACACUAACUCUGGAAUCACACAUUUACAAGAGCAAACCUGCUACAGCUACCAGACCUGUUUUUACACAGUGUUCAGCCCAACCCCGUGGGCUGAGCUACAGUAACAGGGGACCUGAGCAGAGUGAUUCAAUCACUGAUACAUGCCAGAGUAACACAGACAGAAAAAAAGCUGA